rnacentral:lncRNA from 1 species
UAGAUCUGGGUUCAAUACUCUGAGUCCCUAGACCUAUUUUUUUCUUGUCCCCACUUCUGUUGGGAUCAAGCUCCCCAAAGAGUUUUUAUAUUUGCAUCACGACCAUAGGUCUUAGCCCCGGUCUCGAUCCCCAAAGUAGAGUUAACCAGUGACGACACCCAAGUAAACAUAUGAUAGGUUUCUCAGCAGAGGGAUCCACAGGCCAAUUCAAUUCAAUUGGCACACCGAAAGAAUAUAAUUUAAUUGAGAUUCCAGAAUUUUUUAAAGGUAUUCUUACUGACUGGGGAACAUGUAUAUGCAUGUAUACAUAUGCAUUUAAUUUGAAAAGGGUGGGUAAUUAAGUACUUAGACCUAAGAAGCUCAAGUUUUAAAAUUAUAUGAGUGACAUCAAAUAUGAGAAGAAGAAUUAUUAUGGCACUUUUCAGAUUAUAUUGCCUGGACUUGAUAAUUUUUAAGUUGACUCGUGAGUUCUGUUCCUGUUUCCCUUUUGACCAGGUGCCGAUAGCCGUGACUUCAUUAUCCACAGCAUCACAACUAGCCUUAUAUAUCAUACACAGUUGGGAAAGACUCCUCUCAUGGCCCUGCCCUGGAUGUGAAAUUAAAGCAAAACAUUGCUUAAUGUUACCUUUUGGCCUGAGAUCUUCAUGUAGCUCCAGAAUAAUUUGUUAUUUGUGUUUUAAUUGGAAACUCUCGUAACUGUGUUAGAGGGAGAAUGGUCUAUGGUAGCAAAAUGCAGAUGCUGAUUUUUUUUUAAUAAGAGAAUGAUCAAGUAUCUAUGACCCUAUUACUCGUCUAACUGCUGCUUGAAAGAGGUAUCUCAAGAAAAAUAAAUUACAUUUUAAUCAUGGGUGCUAUAUUUUAUUCUGAGAAUUGAUGUUCUCUUGGAAUGUAGAUAGCUUUAAAGGACACAUUAGCGGGUGACUGAUUGGUAAUGAGUAAUAAAGGAAAUAGCACUUUUGAACUGGUGUCAUCACUGCUACGCAGACGUUCCAACAAAAUGUUCCUUGUGCCCUCGUCAUAGACUGAUGCUGAGUUUUCCUGAGUCUGAAGAAUUAACUGGACACGAAGUAGAGAUCCCAGCACAGUUUGCUCGGCUGAUAGCAGCAAGUGAAAUCUCCUAGAGGGGCCUGGGAAUCAGCAAAACCGCAAGCAUCAUUGGAACCCAGCAUUGCAGGCUGGAAACCUCUCCAG